UUGAGUUGGCCAAAAAGUUUGUUUGGGCUUUUCAGCACAUCUUACAGAAAAACACGAAUGAAAUUUUUGACCAACACAAU
rnacentral:miRNA from 1 species